AAAGUGCCUAUCUCAAAAUGUUCAGAGGAUUGAAUGUAAAAAUGCAGCUCUUGACACACUGCCCAUCAACUAGAUACUUUCCCAUCCCCUGUCAUCUGGUGCCAUCAUCUUUACUUUGAGGGAUGCAUGAGGAGGAGAGUAGUCUGGAGAGCGUGGUCAUUCAUGGUGUCCACCUUCACUGGCCCUGAUAAGUGUCAGAGAAAAGAUAAUGAGUAGGGCACAAUCCUUCCCUCACAGAAUUUGCAGUCCAUUGAGGGCAAUAGAUAUGCAUAGCUACUACCUUGAAGUGAUGGGCUUUACAAGGACAGGAUGAGCAAAGGGCUGUGAAUGCCAGAAGAAAAGAGGCCUCUAAUGCACCUAGAACUGUGUGACUGUUAAAGUAACCCAGGGGCCAGAGGCCAGCCCCGGUCCCCGCAGUGAUGCCAUUGUAGCAGCUGCAGAGCCGCCGUUACACCGUCGUAGCAACAGCUAGAGAGCAAGGUGAAGCCAGGGCCGGCAACCUCAGUGUUGUGGUUAACAGGUGUUGAAGCAAGUAUGAAGAAAAUGUUAAGAUCAAGCCACAGCCGUGUUUUGAGAGGUGAUGGGCAAGUUGAGGAAUUCCUGACACCUUUGGACCUUGAAGCAAUAGAGAUUUGUCCCAGGCCAGAGGCCUCCAGUCUGGUGGAUUUGGCAGAUGUCCUCAGAUAUUUAUGCCUUGUUUAAAGAAGUUCUCUUCAAC